rnacentral:rRNA from 1 species
UACAGAGGGGGCAAGCGUUGUUCGGAAUUACUGGGCGUAAAGGGCGCGUAGGCGGCCGCCUAAGUCAGACGUGAAAUCCCUCGGCUCAACCGGGGAACUGCGUCUGAUACUGGGUGGCUUGAAUCCGGGAGAGGGAUGCGGAAUUCCAGGUGUAGCGGUGAAAUGCGUAGAUAUCUGGAGGAACACCGGUGGCGAAGGCGCUCUGCUGGACCAUAACUGACACUCAGGGACGAAAGCUAGGGGAGCGAAUGGG